UCAUUUUUUUUCCCUCUGACAGCUGAAGCAGAAAGGUGGAUUAGCUUUCUUGAUUCCAAUUAUCUUCCCUGUAGUAUAUUGCUGAUACGCUACUGUGUCAGAUAACUUAUGUGAAGUAGAAGAAAAUGUCACCUAGUAAAUGUGACAGAGCUGGAGGGAGGGCUUGAAAGGUAUUUCUUGUCACUGAUGGGGCUCCAAGAACGUUUUUAAAGACAGGUAGAAUUCACUUGAAAUAUCUGAAUUGGAUUUUUUUUUCCUGCCAAAUUGGCUGAAAGAUUACCAUGCACAUGUCAACUUUUGCUUUUAGAGAAGACCAACUGAGAUCGUCGAUGUUGUGCUCAACCUGAUUUCCUUCUACAUCUGGAUAUGAGAAUGGAAGGUGUUCCUCAUGACACCUGAGUUUUCCUCUGUUUGUUUGUUUGGUUCACAUCGUCAGACAGGAGGUCAUAUCUCAGAAAGACGGGGUUGUCACUGCCUUAAGGAGAUAUCUGGGACAACGAAUGAAAAGCAAAGACAAGAAAUGUUUCUGACCUGCCAGAGGGGAUCGUGACACGAUCCACGAGGCAAGACUGCAGCUCGCUUGAUUUGUUCACCGUUUUCCAUCCAAAAACUUCUGAAUCAUUCUCAGCACCAUAGUGAACAUACUCCUUUUUCCUUUCGUGACAGAUGUAGUCCUGCAAACGUAAAUAAUCUCAGGCCCUCACUCUCAUUUAGUUGAUUACUAGCAUUUCAAUAAAAGCAAAACAUUCUCGGUUGAGGCUCUUGACUUGA